UUUUUCACCCCAAAUCCACAUCACAGCUUUGCACAGCGCUGUAGGAUCUCAUGGUUGUAUGGUCUUUAAAACCCAACCCUUGUGGGAUCCCACAGUGCCACGAUCCUAAAGGUCCUCCCACCCCAACCCUUGUAGGAUGCCGUGGUGUUAUGAUCUUCAAGGUCCCUUCCACCCCAACCAUUGUAGGAUCCCGUGGUUCCACAAUCCUACAGGUCCUCUCCAUCCCAACCGCUGUAGGAUCCCACAGUUCUGUGGUCUUUGAGAUCCCUAAAACCCAACCCUUGUGGGAUCCCAGGCAGCCACGAUCCUAAAGGUCCUCUCCAUCCCAACCCUUGUAGGGUCCCGUGGUGUUUUGAUCUUUAAAGUCUCUUCCACCCCAACCAUUGUAGGAUCCCAUGGUUCCAUGAUCCUAAAGAUUCCUCCCAGCCCAACCAUUGUAGGAUCUCAUGGUUGUAUGGUCUUUAAAACCAAAACCUUGUGGGAUCCCACAGUGCCAUGAUCCUAAAUGUCCUCUCCACCCCAACCCUUUUAGGAUCCUGUGGUGUUGCGGUCUUCAAGGUCCCUUCCACCCCAACCAUUGUAGGAUCCCGUGGUUCCAUGAUCCUAAAUAUCCUCUCCACCCCAACCCUUUCAGGAUCCCAUGGUUCCAUGAUCCUAAAGGUCCUCCCAUCCCAUCCCUUUUAGGAUCCUGUGGUGUUGUGGUCUUCAAGGUCCCUUCCACCCCAAUCAUUUUAGGACCCCGUGGUGUUAUGAUCCUAAAUAUCCUCUCCACCCCAACCAUUGUAGGAUCCCAUGGUUCCAUGAUCCUAAAGAUUCCUCCCAACCCAACCACUGUAGGAUCUCAUGGUUGUAUGGUCUUUAAAUCCAAACAUUGUGGGAUCCCACAGUGCCAUGAUCCUAAAGGUCCUCUCCACCCCAACCCUUGUAGGAUCCCGUGGUGUUAUGGUCUUUGAGAUCCCUUCCACCCCAACCCUUGUGGGGUCUCAUGGUUCCAUAAUCCUAAAGGUCCUCUCCACCCCAACCCUUGUAGGAUCCCGUGGUGUUAUGAUCUUUAAGGUCCCUUCCACCCCAACCAUUGUAGGAUCCCGUGGUUCCACGAUCCUACAGGUCCUCUCCAUCCCAAACGCUGUAGGAUCCCACAGUUCUGUGGUCUUUGAGAUCCCUAAAACCCAACCCUUGUGGGAUCCCAGGCAGCCAUGAUCCUAAAGGUCCCCUCCACCCCAACCCUUGUAGGAUCAGGUGGUGUUAUGAUCUUUAAGGUCCCUUCCACCCCAACCAUUGUAGGAUCCCAUAUUUCCAUGAUCCUAAAGAUUCCUCCCAACCCAACCACUGUAGGAUCUCAUGGUUGUAUGGUCUUUAAAACCCAAACCUUGUGGGAUCCCACAGUGCCACGAUCCAAAAGGUCCUCCCAUCCCAACCCUUGUAGGAUCUCUUGGUGUUAUGAUCUUUAAGGUGCCUUCCACCCCGACCAUUAUAGGAUCCCGUGGUUCCACGAUCCUACAGGUCCUCUCCAUCCCAACCGUUGUAGGAUCCUACAGUUCUGUGGUCUUUGAGAUCCCUACAACCCUAACCUUGUGGGAUCCCACGCAGCCACGGUCCUAAAGGUCCUCUCCACCCCAACCUUUGUAGGAUCCCGUGGUGUUAUGAUCUUUAAGGUCCCCUCCACCCCAACCAUUGUAGGAUCCCGUGGUUCCAUGAUCCUAAAUAUUCCUCCCAACCCAACCACUGUAGGACCUCAUGGUUGUAUGGUCUUUAAAACCCAAACCUUGUGGGAUCCCACAGUGCCAUGAUCCUAAGGGUCUUCCCAUCCCAAUCCUUUUAGGAUCCUGUGGUGUUGCGGUCUUCAAGGUCCCUUACACCCCAACCAUUUUAGGAUCCCGUGGUUCCACGAUCCUAAAGGUCCUCCCACCGCAACCCUUUUAGGAUCACAUGGUUCCAUAAUCCUAAAGGUCCUCCCACCCCAACCAUUGUAGGAUCCCAUGGUUCCAUGAUCCUAAAGAUUCCUCCCAACCCAAGCACUGUAGGAUCUCAUGGUUGUAUGGUCUUUAAAACCCAAACCUUUUGGGAUCCCACAGUGCCAUGAUCCUAAAGGUCCUCCCAUCCCAACCCUUGUAGGAUCCUGUGGUGUUAUGGUCUUUGAGAUCCCUUCCACCCCAACCAUUGUAGGAUCCCGUGUUUCCAUGAUCCUACAGGUCCUCUCCAUCCCAACCAUUUUAGGAUCCUGUGGUGUUAUGAUCUUUAAGGUCCCCUCCACCCCAACCAUUGUGGGAUCCCGUGGUUCCACGAUCCUACAGGUCCACUCCAUCCCAUCCGUUGUAGGAUCCCACAGUUCUGUGGCCUUUGAGAUCCCUAAAACGCAACCCUUGUGGGAUCCCACAUAGCCAUGAUCCUAAAGGUCCUCUCCAACCCAACCCUUGUAGGAUCCCGUGGUGUUUUGAUCUUUAAGGUCCUUUCCACCCCAACCAUUGUAGGAUUCCGUGGUUCCAUGAUCCUAAAGGUCCUCUCCAACCCAACCCUUGUAGGAUCCCGUGGUGUUAAGAUCUUUAAGGUCCCUUACACCCAACCAUUGAAGGAUCUCAUGGUUCCAUGAUCCUAAAGAUUCCUCCCAACCCAACCACUGUAGGAUCUCAUGGUUGUAUGGUCUUUAAAACCCAAACCUUUUGGGAUCCCACAGUGCCAUGAUCCGAAAGGUCCUCCCAUCCCAACCCUUGUAGGAUCCCAUGGUUUUAUGGUCUUUGAGAUCCCCUCCACCCCAACCAUUUUAGGAUCCCAUGGUUCCAGGAUCCUACAGGUCCUCCCACCCCAACCCUUGUAGGAUCACAUGGUUCCAUAAUCCUAAAGGUCCCUUCCACCCCAACCAUUGUAGGAUCCCAUGGUUCCACAAUCCUACAGGUCCUCUCCAUCCCAACCGUUGUAGGAUCCCACAGUUCUGUGGUCUUUGAGAUCCCUAAAACCCAAACCUUGCGGGAUCCCACUGUGCCAUGAUCCUAAAGGUCCGCUCCAGCCCAACCCUUCUAGGAUCCCAUGGUGUUAUGGACUUUGAGAUCCCUUCCACACCAACCCUUGUGGGAUCUCAUGGUUCCAUAAUCCUAAAGGUCCUCUCCACCCCAACACUUGUGGGAACUCAUGGUUCCAUGAUCCUAAAGGUCCUCCUACCCCAACCAUUGUAGGAUCCCGCGGUGUUAUUAUCUAAGAUCCCCCCCACCACAACCAUUGUAGGAUCCCGUGUUUCCACGAUCCUAUAGGUCCUCUCCAUCCCAACCCUUGUAGGAUCCCAUGGUGUGAUGAUCUUUCAGGACCCUUCCACCCUAACCAUUGUAGGACCCCGUGGUUCCAUGAUCCUAAAGAUUCCUCCCAACCCAACCACUGUAGGAUCUCAUGGUUGUAUCGUCUUUAAAACACAAACCUUGUGGGAUCCCGCAGUGCCAUGAUCCUAAAGGUCCUCCCAUCCCAACCCUUGUAGGAUCCUGUGGUGUUAUGGUCUUUGAGAUUCCUUCCACCCCAACCCUUGUGGGAUCUCAUGGUUCCACGAUCCUAAAGGUCCUCUCCAUCCCAACCGUUGUAGGAUGCCGUGGUGUUAUGAUCUUUAAGGUCCCUUCCACCCCAACCAUUGUAGGAUCCCGUGGUUCCAUGAUCCUAAAGGUCCUCCCCCCCCAACCCUUGUAGGAUCCCGUGGUGUUGCAGUCUUCAAGGUCACUUCCACCCCAACCACUGUAGGAUCCCGUGGUUCCACGAUCCUACAGGUCCUCUCCAUCCCAACUGUUGAAGGAUCCCACAGUUCUCUGGUUUUGAGAUCCCUAAAACCCAACUGUUGUGGGAUCCCACGCAGCCACGAUCCUAAAGGUCCUCUCCACCCCAACCCUUGUAGGAUCCCACAGUUCUGUGGUCUUUCACAUCCCUAAAACCCAACCCUUCUGGGAUCCCAUUCUGGUAUGAUCUUAAAGGUCCCCUCCACCCCAUCCACUGUAGGAUCUCACAGAUCUGUGAUCCUAAAGGUCCUCCCAACCCAUCAUCGAGUGCCAUAAACU
ensembl:lncRNA